rnacentral:rRNA from 1 species
ACGGGUGAGUAACACGUGGGAACGUACCCUUCGGUUCGGAAUAACUCAGGGAAACUUGAGCUAAUACCGGAUACGCCCUUUUGGGGAAAGGUUUACUGCCGAAGGAUCGGCCCGCGUCUGAUUAGCUUGUUGGUGGGGUAACGGCCUACCAAGGCGACGAUCAGUAGCUGGUCUGAGAGGAUGAUCAGCCACACUGGGACUGAGACACGGCCCAGACUCCUACGGGAGGCAGCAGUGGGGAAUAUUGGACAAUGGGCGCAAGCCUGAUCCAGCCAUGCCGCGUGAGUGAUGAAGGCCUUAGGGUUGUAAAGCUCUUUUGUCCGGGACGAUAAUGACGGUACCGGAAGAGUAAGCCCCGGCUAACUUCGUGCCAGCAGCCGCGGUAAUACGAAGGGGGCUAGCGUUGCUCGGAAUCACUGGGCGUAAAGGGCGCGUAGGCGGCCGAUUAAGUCGGGGGUGAAAGCCUGUGGCUCAACCACAGAAUUGCCUUCGAUACUGGUUGGCUUGAGACCGGAAGAGGACAGCGGAACUGCGAGU